AACGCGAAGAACCUUACCAGAGCUUGACAUACACCGGAAGACAAUUGAGCGAGUGUUAAUGAUGGCAAUCGGUGCACAGGUGGCGCAUGNCUGUUCUCAGCUCGUGCUGUGAAGUUUUGGGUUANGUCCCGCAACGAGCGCNACCCCUUCCCUGUGUUAACCGCAUGUAAAGNUGGGGACUCAGAUGGAACCGCCGGUGACAAACCGGAGGAAGGUGGGGAGAGACGUCAAGUCAUCAUGGCCCUUACGUCCUGGGGNACACACGUGUUACAAUGGNCGGUACAGAGUGCGGGGAACCCGAGAGGGCAACCGAAUCCCGGAAANCCGGUCCCAGUACGGAUUGGAUUUUGCAACCCGACUCCAUGAAGUUGGAUUCGUUAGUAAUCCCAAAUCAGCAUGGUGGGGUGAUACGU
rnacentral:rRNA from 1 species